UCCACCAGCAGUUCAGCCUAGGUCAUCUAUCUAAAGCUAAGCAGGCUGGGGCUGGGUCAGUACUUGGAUGGGAAGCCUAUUAGGAGAGCUGGGCUGCUGCUGGAA
rnacentral:rRNA from 1 species